GCAGAAUAUCUGAUAUACGGUCCUGUGAU
rnacentral:piRNA from 1 species